rnacentral:rRNA from 1 species
CCUACGGGAGGCUGCAGUGGGGAAUAUUGCACAAUGGGGGAAACCCUGAUGCAGCAACGCCGCGUGAGUGAAGAAGUAUUUCGGUAUGUAAAGCUCUAUCAGCAGGGAAGAAGAAAGACGGUACCUGAAGAAAAAGCAUCGGCUAACUCCGUGCCAGCAGCCGCGGUAAUACGGAGGAUGCGAGCGUUAUCCGGAUUUAUUGGGUUUAAAGGGUGCGCAGGCGGUCUGUUAAGUCAGCGGUCAAAGCCCGGGGCUCAAUCCCGGCCCGCCGUUGAAACUGGCAGUCUCGAGUUGGAGAGAAGUAUGCGGAAUGCGCGGUGUAGCGGUGAAAUGCAUAGAUAUCGCACAGAACUCCGAUUGCGAAGGCAGCAUGCCGGCUCCACACUGACGCUGAGGCACGAAAGCGUGGGUAUCGAACAGGAUUAGAUACCCCUGUAGUC